CCUACGGGAGGCAGCAGUGAGGAAUAUUGGUCAAUGGCCGGAAGGCUGAACCAGCCAUGCCGCGUGAAGGUCAGUGCCCUAUGGGCGUUAAACUUCUUUUGUGCGGGAGCAAUAAUGGUCACGUGUGGCCAGACGAGAGUACCGUACGAAUAAGCAUCGGCUAACUCCGUGCCAGCAGCCGCGGUAAUACGGGGGAUGCAAGCGUUAUCCGGAUUUAUUGGGUUUAAAGGGGGCGUAGGCUGUGAGGUAAGUCAGCGGUGAAAUGCCCGCGCUCAACGGGGUGAAGUGCCAUUGAUACUGCCUUGCUGGAAUGCGGAUGACGUGGGAGGAAUGUGUGGUGUAGCGGUGAAAGGCAUAGAUAUCACACAGAACACCGAUUGCGCAGGCAUCUCACGAAUCCGCGAUUGACGCUGAUGCACGAAAGCGUGGGUAUCAAACAGGAUUAGAUACCCUUGUAGUC
rnacentral:rRNA from 1 species